rnacentral:rRNA from 1 species
GAUGAACGCUGGCGGCGUGCUUAACACAUGCAAGUCGAACGAUGAAGCCCAGCUUGCUGGGUGGAUUAGUGGCGAACGGGUGAGUAACACGUGAGUAACCUGCCCUUAACUCUGGGAUAAGCCUGGGAAACUGGGUCUAAUACCGGAUAGGAGCGUCCACCGCAUGGAGGGUGUUGGAAAGAUUUAUCGGUUUUGGAUGGACUCGCGGCCUAUCAUCUUGUUGGUGAGGAAAUGGCUCACCAAGGCGACCACGGGUACCCGGCCUGAGAGGGUGACCGGCCACUCUGAGACUGAUACACGGCCCACACUCCUACGGGAGGCAGCAGUGGAGAAUAUUGCACAGUGGGCGCAAGCCUGAUGCAGCCACCCCGCGUGAGAGAUGACCGCCUUCGGGUUGUACACCUCUUUCAAUAGGGAAGAAUCUAAUGUGACGGUACCUGCAGAAGAAGCACCGGCUAACUACGUGCCAGCAGCCGCGGUAAUACGUAGGGUGCGAGCGUUAUCCGGAAUACUGGGCGUAAAGAGCUCGUAGCGGUUUGUCCGUCUGUCGUGAAAGUCCGGGGCUUACUCCGGAUCUGCGGUGGGUACGGGCAUACUAUAGUGCAUGAAGGGAGACUGGAAUUCCUGGUGUAACGGUGGAAUGCCCAAAUAUCAAGAAGAACACCCAUGGCGAAAGCAGGUCUCUGGGCUGUAACUGACCCUUAAGAACCAAAGCCUGGGGAGCCAACAGGCUUAAAUACCCUGGUAGUCCCUGCCCUAAACGUUGGGCACUAGGUGUGGGGACCAUUCCACGGUUUCCGCGCCCCAACUAACGCAUUAAGUGCCCCCCCUGGGGAGUACCGCCGCAAGGCUAAAACUCAAAGGAAUUGACGGGGGCCCCCACAAGCGGCGGAGCAUGCGGAUUAAUUCCAUGCAACGCGAAGAACCUUACCAAGGCUUGACAUGUUCUCGAUCGCCGUAGAGAUACGGUUUCCCCUUUGGGGCGGGUUCACAGGUGGUGCAUGGUUGUCGUCAGCUCGUGUCGUGAGAUGUUGGGUUAAGUCCCGCAACGAGCGCAACCCUCGUUCCAUGUUGCCAGCACGUAAUGGUGGGGACUCAUGGGAGACUGCCGGGGUCAACUCGGAGGAAGGUGAGGACGACGUCAAAUCAUCAUGCCCCUUAUGUCUUGGGCUUCACGCAUGCUACAAUGGCCGGUACAAUGGGCAGCGACACUGUGAGGUGGAGCUAAUCCCAAAAAGCCGGCCUCAGUUCGGAUUGGGGUCUGCAACUCGACCCCAUGAAGUCGGAGUCGCUAGUAAUCGCAGAUCAGCAACGCUGCGGUGAAUACGUUCCCGGGCCU